rnacentral:rRNA from 1 species
AAUGAACGCUGGCGGCAUGCCUAACACAUGCAAGUCGAACGGAAGGACAGUAAGCUUUUGCUUUUACGGGUGGCGGGGGGCGGGCGGGUGACGCAUGGAUCGGCUUCUUCUUUUUCGUGGGUGAUAACGGAGGGAAAGUUACGCUAAUACCUCAUAUGUUGUACCGGUGAGAUCAGGGGAUCUUCGCGGCCUUCGUGAUUGUAUUAGCCGAGGUCGGAUUAGCUAGUUGGGUGGGUAACGGCCCACCAAGGCGACGAUGCGUAGCUGGUCUGAGAGGAUGAUCGGCCACACUGGAACUGAGACACGGUCCAGACUCCUACGGGAGGCAGCAGUAGGGAAUAUUGGGCAAUGGGCGAAAGCCUGACGCAGCAACGCCGCGUGAGUGAAGAAGGCCUUCGGAUCGUAAAGCCCUGUUGUUGGGGAAGAAAAGCUGUGGAUUAAAACGCGGCUGUUCUGACGGUACCGAAUGAAAAAGCACCGGCUAACUACGUG